UACGUAGGGGGCAAGCGUUGUCCGGAAUCAUUGGGCGUAAAGAGCGUGUAGGCGGCCCGAUAAGUCCGCUGUGAAAGUCCAGGGCUCAACCCUGGAAUGCCGGUGGAUACUGUCGGGCUCGAGUCCGGAAGAGGCGAGUGGAAUUCCUGGUGUAGCGGUGAAAUGCGCAGAUAUCAGGAAGAACACCGGUGGCGAAGGCGGCUCUCUGGACCGAGACUGACGCUGAGGCGCGAAAGCGUGGGGAGCAAACAGG
rnacentral:rRNA from 1 species